UACAGAGGCCUCGAGCGUUAGGCGGAAUCACUGGGCUUAAAGCGUGUGUAGGCGGACUUCUAAGUACCUUGUGAAAUCCCACGGCUCACCCGUGGAACCGCUGGGUAUACUGGUUGUCUUGAGCCGGCUAGGGGCGAGCGGAACAGACGGUGGAGCGGUGAAAUGCGUAGAUAUCGUCUGGAACGCCGAAGGUGAAAACAGCUCGCUGGGGCCGCGCUGACGCUGAGACACGAAAGCCAGGGGAGCGAACGGG
rnacentral:rRNA from 1 species